rnacentral:rRNA from 1 species
UUCGGCUUAGAGUUUGAUCCUGGCUCAGAACGAACGCUGGCGGCGUGCCUAACACAUGCAAGUCGAACGCGAACGGAAUCUUCGGAUUCCAAGUAGAGUGGCGCACGGGUGAGUAACACGUGGAUAACCUGCCCCAAGAUCUGGGAUAACAUUUCGAAAGAAGUGCUAAUACCGGAUAAGCCCACAACCUCCUCGGAGGAAGCGGGAAAAGAUUUAUCGUCUUGGGAUGGGUCCGCGGUCCAUUAGCUAGUUGGUGGGGUAAUGGCCUACCAAGGCUGCGAUGGAUAGCUGGUCUGAGAGGAUGAUCAGCCACACUGGAACUGAGACACGGUCCAGACUCCUACGGGAGGCAGCAGUGGGGAAUUUUGCGCAAUGGGGGAAACCCUGACGCAGCAACGCCGCGUGAAGGAUGAAGGCCUUUGGGUCGUAAACUUCUGUCAGAGGGGAAGAAAUGCCCGCAAGGGUGCUGACGGUACCCUCAAAGGAAGCACCGGCUAA